rnacentral:rRNA from 1 species
UCGCGGCGGCGUGCGCAGAAGGGUCUGGGCUCGAGCCUGCCUGGAGCCGCCGCCGGUGCAGAUCUUGGUGGUAGUAGCAAAUACUCCAGCGAGGCCCUGGAGGACUGAUGUGGAGAAGGGUUUCGUGUGAACAGCCGUUGCACACGAGUCAGUCGAUCCUAAGCCCUAGGAGAAAUCCGACGCCUACGGCGACGGGAAAAAUUUUCUAAAAAUCGACCCGUUGAUCGGGCGAAAGGGAAUCCGGUUCCUAUUCCGGAACCCGGCAGCGGAACCGCUGUUUGUCGGGCCCUCACAAGGGGUUCGUCAGGGUAACCUAAAAGGGCCCGGAGACGCCGUCGGGAGCCCCGGAAAGAGUUUUCUUUUCUGCAUGAGCGUUCGAGUUCCCUGGAAUCCUCUCGCAGGGAGAUAGGGUUUGGAACGCGAAGAGCACCGCAGUUGCGGCGGUGCCCGGGAAUUCCCGACGGACCUUGAAAAUCCGGGAGAGGGCCACGUGGAGGUGUCGCGCCGGCUCGUACCCAUAUCCGCAGCAGGUCUCCAAGGUGAAGAGCCUCUAGUCGAUAGAAUAAUGUAGGUAAGGGAAGUCGGCAAAUCGGAUCCGUAACUUCGGG